ACUACCGGUUAGCCAUGAGUUUGCUGGUCGUAUACGAUGGGUUUGGAAGAGUCCACCCAGACAAGAAGCACACGGAGCUUGCAACAAGAGUUCCAUUAAGUUUUGAACCCGAGAGAUUCAGCUGAAUCAAAUGAGAUUGCUGUCAUUGAGUAGAGCAGUGAAUGGAGGAGAUCAGGACUGGGAUUUCGAAGCUGAGAAGGAAAUAAAGAUUUGGUAUUCAAUUUUGAAGAGUUUGGUUUGAUUUUGAAGUCGUUUUGCUGCCAAGAGAAGGCAGUGAAUGGAAGACAAGCUGCUGCCGUGAUGAUGAUAAAUGAUGAUGAAUGUUUCUGAGUUUUGAAUGAAUUAGAAAUGUGGAUGCUUGUGUAAUUGAAUUAUUGUCGCAGGGAAGGAGAUUGAAAGAGCUUAGGAAUCAACAGUAAGCUCAAAUCUGUAUCUGCAGAAAAACGCGCUCAUGUUGUUUGUAAAAUGGCCUAAACCAAGAUGAACAAGGAAGUUGGUUUUGCAUUUGAGUUCAACAGAGCCAAGAGAGAACAGCUUUGGCUAUUCUAUGUCCGUAAAGUUAAGGAUUUGUUGUUGCUAUAUAUGAGCUGCGGAUACGAGAUUGUGGAGAUAUGUGCAUUAUCUUUGGCAGCAAGAAAGCAACGCUUGACUGCACCAUCUUCUCGCUGGCUAGUUAUGGGUCUGUGGGUUGUGUAUGAAGGGUAACCGGCACUGGCUAGAUGGUAAGUAACCUGGUUAUCAAUCUGUGUGAAUAUUGGACAGAGUUUGAGUCCGGAAACUUGGUAAAGAGGCCGACAUUAGAUGAAGUCUGUGCCAUUUGUCUCUGAUGAUCAACGGAGUAGAUUGAAGACAUUAUUUAGAAGUCAGACGGGAUUGAAAACUUGGGUCACAAGUAGAAUACAGUUCGCAGCAAGAAAAGAAGCUAUAAAAGAAGGGAAAGAGCACAGAAUUUAAUAUCCAAUACCCCCUCUGCGACUGCAUAAACAUCUCCAACAGGGAGGAGCUGCUCUCAUCAUCAUCACACCACCUGCAUACCGCCAGCAUAUCAACUUCGCAUCCAUCACCUGCAUACAUCUACCAGUUUGCAUUCAUCAACCACCUGCAUAUCUCCACCAGAUCCGCCUCCAUAACACCCUGUUCCCAUCACUAUCCCCUACAUCCACAGAUCACUUCCCACCUGCAGUUUGCAUACCAUUAUCACCUGCAUAUCAUCAUCAUCCACUUGCAUAUCACCAGCUACACCAUCACCAAGUUUUCCGCGAGCUGCAUCUCCACCUGCACCUUCCAUUCACUUCCAGACCACCAUUAGAACCUGCAGAGAGCUACAUCACCUUCGCAGUCACCAACUACAGAAGCACCAGUUCUUAGAUCAUCACUACAGCACCAAGCCAGCAGCAGUUCUUACUUCGCCAUCACCAUUCCAUCCGCCAGCAACAACCACACGAAUGGUUGGAAUUUAGAGUUUCCUGACAGAGAAGACUGGUAUAUUUUUAAGAAGCUCCAUCUGGAGUGUAUUCGUAGGAACUCGAAGGUUAUCCCUUUACCUACAGUUCGGGAAGUACCAGCUUGUUGUACCUAUUUUUCGGGCAGUACCAGAUUAUGUGAACUGUGAUAAUGUGCCAUUUGUACAACCUGGUGUUUACAUAACCAGGGAAGACGAUAGGUUUACAGCUUAUGAUGCUGAUUCAGGUGAUUAAGAAUGGUUGGGUAAAGUAAAUAAUGAUCGUUACAGAGAAAAUAGUGUAUCUUUGGAGAAGUUCGAGAAACUGAUUGAGGCAUUUGAGAAAGCUGUCUCUUAUAGCCUUAAUAACAAAAUCGAUGAAAGCAGGGCUGUCGCUUUGCUCAGAUACAGGGCAGAAUCUAGUGGUGGAUGUGUAUAGAUAUUGGCUGAAAAAUCGGAAGCAGAAACGAGCUUCUCCGCUAAUAGUUUUCCAGGUUCACGGGUGCUUCAUUACACGUCUAAGGUUCGAAUUGAGGCAUCUUGGAUCGUUUUCAUAGUAAUCGAGUGGUGUGGUGCCUGUUAUAACAGGCAGGAACUCUGUUUUUGAGAUCGGCUUCAAAAUUAGUGUGGCUGGUUAAAUGGAAGUGAGUUCAAGUCUGUGAGAAAAGCUGCAAAGGCAUUGAGCGGUAUUUGAGUUCCGGGGUUAUGAUUCGAUUGGGCCACCUUUCGUUGCUCCACAUCGUAACUGUCAAUGAAGGCAUGCAUUAUCCUAAUGAACUCUAAACACCUAGGUGAAUACCAUGAUAUUGGAAGAUGUAAUAGCUGAAGUGGGGAGACCAUGUACUUAGUUAUCAAUAAACGCGUCAAUCGAACUCUCUGACUUUGAUUAGGCACCAGCAGAUUUGGUGGCCUGCAAACAAGUGAAUCGUCUUGUUAGAGACAAGUAACAAUGUUUAAUGAUCAAAUAAAGUACAAAGUGUUAGUGAAAAAGCUCACCAAUUACUGGGGUCAAUUAUGCAAAUCAAGUCAAACGCCUCCGGAUGAUCAGCCCAAUUCGGAAUGCAAUGCUUUAGGAGGUCAGCGAGAGCCAAGAGAUCACUUCCACAUCCAGGUUGCAUUUCCUGGUUUUCUGGGACCGGGAUGGUAUGAUAAUUCUUAAGUUUUACCACAAACCGAUCUCCCACAACGGACUUAAUUAUCGCAGUCUCGACGGUGAGAGAUCCGUGGUGUAGUCUUUGAUGGUGAAGCUCCGCCAACCCGUAUAGGAUGCCUGUAAAUAAAAGAAAAAAGAACUUUCUUUAUGCAAGUUUCCAUAUAGAAUUGUAACAGAGUAUCUAAACUUAAAAGAACGGACCUUUAUUGAGCAUAA